UACGGAGGAUGCGAGCGUUAUCCGGAUUUAUUGGGUUUAAAGGGUGCGUAGGCGGACUGUCAAGUCAGCGGUAAAAUUGAGAGGCUCAACCUCUUCCCGCCGUUGUAACUGGUGGUCUUGAGUGGAUGAGAAGUACGCGGAAUGCGUGGUGUAGCGGUGAAAUGCAUAGAUAUCACGCAGAACUCCGAUUGCGAAGGCAGCGUACCGGCAUCCAACUGACGCUGAGGCACGAAAGCGUGGGGAUCAAACAGG
rnacentral:rRNA from 1 species